rnacentral:rRNA from 1 species
UACAGAGGUCUCAAGCGUUGUUCGGAUUCAUUGGGCGUAAAGGGUGCGUAGGUGGCUUGGUAAGUUGAAGGUGAAAUCUCGGAGCUUAACUCCGAAACUGCCUUCAAUACUGCCAUGACUUGAGUCCGGUAGGGGAGUGUGGAAUUCCCGGUGUAGCGGUGAAAUGCGCAGAUAUCGGGAGGAACACCCGUAGCGAAGGCGGCACUCUGGGCCGUGACUGACGCUGAGGAGCGAAAGCGUGGGGAGCAAACAGG